UGAGUUGUGACUAUGAAGUCAGAGUUCCACUCGCCUUUCACUGCACUGAAUACUUAGAAGUGAUUCACUCGCAGCCCCUCCGGCUAAUGCUGGACAAAUCCUUAGGAAACAGCUGUGCCACAGCCUAAAAUGUUUACAUUGCCUCCAACAGCCCAGCGGGUGACGCGCCUCUCGAGACCAUCUCAUUGGACAGACUGUUUCACUGGAGGUCCAAGGGGCGGCUCCUUUGCGUUACAUUUUCUCUUGCACAAGAGAGCACUUAGCACCCAGCACCCAGCACCCAGCACCCAGCACUCACUGAAAGGCUGGCUCUGUUAUGGGACGGCCCAGUUCUGGUUUAAAGAAUGUCAUUUGGGUGUGCCUUGUGCUUCCCAGUGUGCAAAGCAGUUCUAACUAAACCUGUUAGACUUGAACAUCGAAGGGAAGUCACGUUAGGAACCCAGCUCGAAAGUCUGAGGCCAAAGGUGUCACCUAGAAGCUUUAACUGUGCUCAUUAACUUGGAAUCUUUUCUUAAAAAGUGGACUACUUGCUUUACUUUGAUCACGUCAGCAAAACGCUAGUAUUACCAGAGGAUCUUUCAGGGCACUUAAGAAAUGGAUCUACUAAGGCACAGACGUUCUCGGUAUGUAGUUGGAGAAAAGGACUACUCCAAGUUGGGUGAGAAUGGAACCGACCAGAAUUUUAAGCACUGAGUGCCCCUCCCCUGAGCUGUGUACCCUGGGCAUUUAUGAAGUCACGUGGCUCUCGGAUCUGCGCACCUUGCGAUCAGUCCUACCCUGUUUAACAGGGACUGACUACUCUCCUCUUCCUGACGGAAAAUACGAAGGUGGAGCCAGUCUUGGGUGUGCCUCCCUUGGGUUAUCCAGAUUUGGGCACUUCACUAAAGCACUGUCAGAAGGCGCACAUGUAUUAAUGUCACUACCUGUGGGGAGUUAGGUAUUAUCUGUUUAAUACAUGUAGAAUGCGCAGUGAACUCUGUCAUUCUUUUUCUUUUAUUUCUAAGCAAAACUAGUCAUCAAUUUACAUUCAGUUACUGAGUUGACAGUCUACUGAGUCUACUGAGAGAACAACAGAUGACUGUUGGAAAAAAUUUACACUCGGUGGUGUUCUCUACUAAGAUAAAAAGACACAGGCACAUCGAGGCUCUCCACUACGGAAUUAAUGUGAAUUUAAAAAGGCAAUCGUUUCUCUUAAGAGCAUUCACUCCUAGUGACGAAGUUUACAAAAGCCACUAAAAGGAAGAAGUAGAUGAAAAUACAGAGGGCUGGGUCUGGUUUAGGUUAUUUUUUUUUAAUUAAAGUUCACAGUGCUACAGGAAGACUGAUUUUAUUACUAUGUUCUUUUUGUGACUGAGAGAUCAUCCUAUACUAGAAGGAGUAAUUGCCACUUGUUCUUUCUUUUGCGGUGCUGGGAACUGAACCCAGGGCCUUGCACAUGCUGGGCAAGCGCUUUAGGGCUGAGCCACACCUCCAGCCUGGAAGAGCCCUUUAAUUGCUGGCAAACGGCUUUAAGUGCACUUUCUUUGAUUACACUUCCUUUUUUUUUUUUUUUUUGUUAAACUUGAAUUUUCUGAAGCCUUUUAUGUACCACUAAGCAAAUAACUUUAAUUUUUAAAUAAACUGGGUUUAUAUCCUUAGUUAUAUUUCUAAUUGUUAUAAGACAUACUUGCUAAAGUAACUUAAGCCCUCAAAUGUAGCCGGGAAGAGUUUGAGAUAGACUUCAGUUACUUUCCCUGUACCCAGUAAAGCACUAAUUUUGUUACCUUAUUGCCUUUACAUUGCUUAGUCUUGAAUUCUGUUCACUGUUUUGUUUGAGAUUUAAAGUUAUUUUCUUACUGUAUUUAUCAUACCUACUGUUUUAAUAAUCUGCCGUCUUUAAAUGCAAUAAAUCCCAAACGGAUCGCUUAUUCUUCAUAGCCAAUGCCUUUGGAGUUUUAUUAUUACUAUUUGUAUCAUUAAAAGUUUCAUCAC
rnacentral:lncRNA from 1 species